UACGGAGGGUGCAAGCGUUAUCCGGAUUCACUGGGUUUAAAGGGUGCGUAGGCGGGUUGGUAAGUCCGUGGUGAAGUCUCCGAGCUUAACUCGGAAACUGCCGUGGAUACUAUCAAUCUUGAAUAUCGUGGAGGUAAGCGGAAUAUGUCAUGUAGCGGUGAAAUGCUUAGAUAUGACAUAGAACACCAAUUGCGUAGGCAGCUUACUACACGAUCAUUGACGCUGAGGCACGAAAGCGUGGGGAGCAAACAGG
rnacentral:rRNA from 1 species